CAGUCGCCGCGGUAAUACGUAGGGUGCGAGCGUUAAUCGGAAUUACUGGGCGUAAAGGGCGCGUAGGUGGUUAUUUAAGUGAGAUGUGAAAGCCCCGGGCUUAACCUGGGAACUGCAUCUUAUACUGGGUAACUGGAGUGCAGUAGAGGGUAGUGGAAUUUCCGGUGUAGCGGUGAAAUGCGUAGAUAUCGGAAGGAACACCAGUGGCGAAGGCGGCUACCUGGACUGAGACUGACACUGAGGCGCGAGAGCGUGGGGAGCAAACAGGAUUAGAUACCCCUGUAGUCCCUGUCUCUUAUAC
rnacentral:rRNA from 1 species